CCGCCUUCUGAGAAUAUUGACAUUGUCACUGUUCCAGCUGGGAAAACUUUACCCCAAGUUAGGCCAACCACUGCAUUUCUUCUUUUGAGGUCUCCCAGGCCUGUCUCUCCUUUGACCUCCUCUUCCUUCUCCCGGAAGCCUCCCUGACUCCUAACAGCUUGUAUAUUGCUGUAGUCACCUGCGGAGGCUGAGGGAUCUCACUGAAGGUUUCAUGUGAAUGUCAAGAUGGAUAGAACCACUCAUGAACCAAGAGAGCAUGAAAGGUUUUCUCGUUUGCAGAAUUGCCAUCUCUCAGGACGGCAGCUCCCAUACGGCUUGCGAUCACGGAAGGAGGAGGAUUACGUGGAUUUUCGCUGUGGUUGAGGGCUGGUUCAUCCUCCAUCAGGAAGAGCUGACCGUGUAAAGUCAACUGGAGGGAUGAGAGGAGGCCCCAGAGAUAAACUGCCUAGGAACAAAGAGUUUCAGCCUGCAGCAUGGAACUUCGAGUUCUCUCUCCAGAUCUGCAGCCCAGACUCAGGCAGGCCCUGUCUCCGUCCACUCCAGUCCAUCCCCCAUAGGUCUGUCUGACGCUUCCCACAUUCCUCAGCUGGGUCUGUCUUCUACCAGUCUCCCGGCUCCUGCUCCCACGUUCCCUCUGGACACUCCUUUGGACUGGAAAUGCCAUCCCUCAUCCCUUUCCUGCUCCUGGUCACCAGAUCGGACAUGCUGGUCCUUCCUGUUUGGGAUGGUUUACUAGAUAAGGCCUGGCAUGGAUCCCAUCUGUCAUCACCACAUGACUCAAAACUAUUUUGGGCAGGACCCUUGCUUAUACCAAGUGUCCACCCUGGGCCUCCUGGCCCUGGCUAUUGACACUCCUCCAGGAAUAGGGCCAAGAACCAAGGGAGCUAUCCAGAAGGGCAAAUGCAGCAGCUCAGCUUCCAUCCAGCUUCCUGUUCCUUGACCCCAGAUGUCUUUGGUAGCUCUAGCCCACAAGUCAAACCAUGAGAGAGACUGAGUGGCCCUGGAAGUCGAAAGUGGACCAAUACUGUUCUAAGGGCAGCCAGGGACAAGUGUCUGCUCUCAAGUGCCACAGCAAAAACUGUUAUCACAGCUGCUUUUGUUUAGGUAUGUCUGACUGUCUGA